ACCUCAGAUUUGGAGAUCUGGCACCCAUCAGCUGCUGGAUACCCACAGAACCUCCUCUUCCACAUUGCAAUUCCCCUGCAGAGUGCACCAAGCAUGGCCCUUGUGCCUCCAGGUUCCAUGGGCCAGCUCGGAGAGUUCCCUUGGCUGCAAGGAGAAGUCAUGGCUGGGACUCAGCUGGCCUCUGAUCGCCUGCAGGUGUUUUCCAAAAUAUCCUUGGAAUUGGAGCCUGCCUGACACAUCUGCCUGAUGCUUCCCCAUAACAACUUUCCAGUUCCAGUGAUGCUCUUUGGAUUCGCAGUCCAAGCACAGCUAUGAGGAACCUGGAGAAAUGGUUGUCUUGGACUGUGGAUGCCCCCAGCGAGUUUUGUGAAACACAUCAGAUCAUCAGGAGUUCUGCUUCCCCAAGCCGUGGAAAAUCCAAAACCUGGUGAAAUGUUCCAGCAGACCAAGAGUUUCACCCCAGGUGGGUCCAGCACGGGAGCCACGUUCACCUCAAGGCUCAAUUCUACACAAGGAUUGUUCUUCCAACUCUUCGCUGUGUGCUGGCAAAAUUCCAAGUCAAAAAGUCAUGGAAUGUGUACAGAAUGUUUAGGGACUUUGUAUUCCCUGGUUCCAGAGUUUUUCAGGAUCAAAGCAGCUGCUGGUUGCUCAGAGCAAAGGCUGUUGUUGUUGUUCUUGAUUUGUCACUUCCCAUCUUGGGAACACUUUAAUUCUCCAAACCUAAAGGAACUCAGCUAAAUCAAAUUAAUAGUGGACUUUUAAUACAUUUAAAUGAAAUGGAAGACAAAUUUCUUCAGUGCAGAGAAGAAUCAAACAACUUUCUCUUCAUAGCAUUAGGAACAAUACUUUAAGUUCCUUUUCUGUCAGCUGCCUUUUAAUUAGCAGCACUUCAGCACAGUUCUGACAUGUCAAACCCACCUGGGAUUGUUCUUCAUCUCAAAAAAUGGGUGCUGCAUUUUUCCUGCUCCAGCUGCAACUUUAACUGCUGUAAUCACUUGAUGAGUAACCUCGAUAUUGGGAGUGACAGAGGCCUUUAAUGGUUUAAUAACUCAGAGGAGCCCUGGCUUUUGAGUGAAGUUCAGAAAUGUGCUUUAGAGUUGGAGAGGUUCUCUCCAGAUGAAUACAGGCCAUGGCCUUGAAGGAUGAGGAAAAGCAGCUUAAACAGGGGGACUCUCUGGAGAAAUAAAAUUUGGCUUGGGAUUGUUUAUGUUAGCA
rnacentral:lncRNA from 1 species